GUUGUUGUUAGGUGAAGUGGUUUGGAAUGGCCUGCCGGAGAAGGUGAGAGUCCUGUAGUUGAAGACAAUGGCAUGUGGGUUGUUGGGUUGCCCGAGUAGCAGCGGGCUCGUGGAAUCUGCUGUGAAUCUGCCGGGACCACCCGGUAAGCCUAAAUACUCAAGUUGACCGAUAGCGGAAUAGUACCGUGAGGGAAUGGUGAAAAGUACCCCGGGAGGGGAGUGAAAUAGUACCUGAAACCGUGUGCUUACAAUCCGUCAGAGCCUCUUUUGUGGGGUGAUGGCGUGCCUUUUGAAGAAUGAGCCUGCGAGUCAGCGGCAUGUCGCGAGGUUAACCCGUGUGGGGUAGUCGUAGCGAAAGCGAAUCCUAACGAGGGUGUUUUUUAGUGGCAUGUUCUGGACCCGAAGCGGGGUGAUCUACCCAUGGCCAGUGUGAAGCAGCUGUAAGAGGUUGUGGAGGCGCGAACCCACGUAGGUUAAAAACUGCGGGGAUGAGCUGUGGGUAGGGGUGAAAGGCCAAUCAAACUGGGAGAUAGCUCGUACUCCCCGAAAUGCAUUUAGGUGCAGCG
rnacentral:rRNA from 1 species